GUGCGCCUCCUCUCCCUUCCCCUCCCACGUGCCUCCUCUCCUCCUUCCCCGCCGCCGCCCGACCUCCUCCUUCCACCCCUCCAACCGGCUCCUCUUCGAUGGCCAGGGGUAGGGGGUAUAAAAAUCGGCCGCUCCCGUGACGGAGACCUAGCCGCCGCCUCUCUCCCACACUCGUGCAACUCCUCGCCUCUUCCUCCCGUCCCCACCUCCGGCCCACUCUCCCGCCUCGGUCUCCGGCCAAUUCCGGCCACUCCGCUGAGCUCUGACGCUGCCCAACACACACAAGGCUGCUCCUCGACGAGCUCUACUAGCUUCACCGCGUCGAUCUACUUCUCCUUGCCUCCUGCGGUCGCCCCCAUCGAUUUCCCCCACUAGGGUUUUGGUGGUGGAGGUAAACCUCGCCUCCAACGGCCGCCUGCUCGUUGCCCCGAUUUCUCGAUCCCCAUGGAUACGUCCCUAUAGGAGAGAAGAUGCGGAGGGAGGAUAGGAGGAGGUAGGCGCACUGGGGCGGGGGGUCUCGCCGGCGACGAUAGGGCUGGCCGGCCGGAGUUGGAUCGAGAUCCCGGCCCGCAUCGCUUCCUCGUUGUCAGGCCGCAUGCUGCUCCGCCCUUCCUCCUCCCCUCCCAUCGUUCCCCUCCCUAACCCUGGGAGUGGGCGAGGAGGCUGAGUCGCUGCCGCCGCUGGCCCUCCACACCUCCUGUUCGACCACGCCAAGGAAGCACUGGACCUUCAUCCUUGCAUCUGUGCGCCUCUGGGAAGAAGACUUGAGAUCUUCGGCCGUCUUCGACUAUGCUCGGAGAGGUGUCAUGGUAUGAGAGGAUACAGUGGGAUGGCUCCAUCUGCUAGACUGAUUGGUUCUGUUGUGCAGUCAUGCAUCUACAUGAUGGUCUGCCCAUUGGUUACACAUGUGAAAAGCGAGUGACGCAUAUCAAGUUGCUGGGACCUCAGGGCACAUUCAUCAGCUUGCCUCAAGUAUAUUGGGACCCGUUUGUGAUCUAUAUCAGGUGCACGAGCUCCGAUGUGGUUCCUCGCUGGUUGGACGGCGUUCAAGCGCAACCCCGGCGCGCACUGAGCACUGCCUCGGCUACAACCUCCCUCGGUGAGCUCCAUCUUGCUCCUGCUCCUCUGCUUCGUCUACUAUAUGGGACAUGGCCAUGGCUAUAUUGAUGUGGGGAUUGUCUGGUUGAUGCUCUAUGCCCUACUCAUGCAUCGGUUCCUACUUGAGCUUUGUAGUUGUGGAUCCAUGCCAUUUUAGGGUUUGCAGGCUGCUGUUCAUGUUUAGUUGCUAUCAUAUGAGCUCAUGUGAUGCUCUGGUUUACAUGUCGAUGCCCUGGUCCUAUAGCUAUGCUCCUGGAUUUGCUAGAUUGAUCAGUGGUGUUCGUGCCAGGGCAAUGAUAAUUAAUCGUGGCUGAAAUAAGUGUGCCUUUGAGCAAUCAUGGCACCUGUGCGUAUCAGGUUGGGUCCUCCCUCUUGUCCCUAGAAUCCUUUUUGAUCAUGUGAAUCUUGUUGUUGUCCUUGGAUGGUCAUUCUUGUUGAGUGAUAACCAGGGCAGCUCCACUGUAUAAACAGAUUGAUCUGGUGUUAAGAGAUGAUGGGGGUAGGUUAUAUGAUCGAGGAAAGGCGAAUCUGAGCCCAGUAUGCAAUGAACCCUGAACCCUUUCUAUUUGUUUUUAAAGGUGUUGCUUAUCCAGAAACAAGAACCAAAGCAGACCACAGACGCUCCCAGAGCUUAGGCACUCUCGGCCAUCCGAUCUAUUUCUUCAUGCGAUUCAAGCCAUCGGAUCUCGGGUUUGGCUCACGUGAGACGUCACAUAUUUACCAGAUCGUUGUGAGUCAUUAGAUAAAAUUCCAAUUGCAACAAAAUGUAAAUACCAUGCCCCCAUCAGGGCAUCUGGGUCAUUUCGUGUACUGGCUAUAAAAUGACCGUGACUUCCUAUGAUGAAAACCUAGCGGCCGCCUCCUCUCCCACUCGCUCCUGUAGCUGCCUCCCUCCCUCCCUCCCAUGCAGGUGGCUCCCACCAACCAUGGCAACGGCGGGCAGUGGCCAUGGAGGAGGGUGGCAGAUCAGCGGCACCGGCGAUGGCGUCUGUGGCAGCUAUGCAAUGAACCCUGAACCACUUUUAUUUGUAUUUAAAGGUGUGUUGCUUAUUUAUGCUCAAGUGGUGUUCGUGCUAGGGCGAUGAUGAUUACCUUGGCUUGAAUUAGUGUGCCUUUGAGUAAUCGAGGCACCUGUGGGUAUCAAGUUGGAUCCUCCCUCUUGUCUCUAGAAUCCUUUUUGAUCCUGUGAUACUUGUUGUUGUCCUUG